UUAAGCAUAUCAAUAAGCGGAGGAAAAGAAACCAACAGGGAUUGCCUCAGUAACGGCGAGUGAAGCGGCAAAAGCUCAAAUUUGAAAUCUGGCUCUUUCAGGGUCCGAGUUGUAAUUUGUAGAAGAUGUUUCGGGUGUGGUCCCAGUCUAAGUUCCCUGGAACUGGACAUCACAGAGGGUGAGAAUCCCGUAUGUGACUGGGUACCUACGUCCAUGUGAAACUCUUUCGACGAGUCGAGUUGUUUGGGAAUGCAGCUCAAAAUGGGUGGUAAAUUUCAUCUAAAGCUAAAUAUUGGCCAGAGACCGAUAGCGCACAAGUAGAGUGAUCGAAAGAUGAAAAGCACUUUGGAAAGAGAGUUAAACAGUACGUGAAAUUGUUGAAAGGGAAGGGCAUGCAAUCAGACUUGCGCCUAGUUGAUCAUCCGGGCUUUUGCCCGGUGCACUCGAUUAGGCUCAGGCCAGCAUCAGUUUAGAGGGUUGGAUAAAGGCCUUGGGAAUGUGGCCCCUCUCGGGGGGUGUUAUAGCCCAAGGUGCAAUGCAGCCACUCUGGACUGAGGACCGCGCUUCGGCUAGGAUGCUGGCGUAAUGGUUGUAUGCCGCCCGUCUUGAAACACGGACCAAGGAGUCUAACAUCUAUGCGAGUAUUUGGGUGUUAAACCCAUAUGCGUAAUGAAAGUGAACGGAGGUGAGAGCCCUUAAGGGUGCAUCAUCGACCGAUCCUGAUGUCUUCGGAUGGAUUUGAGUAAGAGCAUAGCUGUUGGGACCCGAAAGAUGGUGAACUAUGCGUGAAUAGGGUGAAGCCAGAGGAAACUCUGGUGGAGGCUCGCAGCGGUUCUGUACGUGCAAAUCGAUCGUCAAAUUUGCGUAUAGGGGCGAAAGACUAAUCGAACCAUCUAGUAGCU
rnacentral:rRNA from 1 species